GUUCCUAGGUGCUAAGAAUUCUAAUAAUUUGAGGAUUAGAAGUAAUUCCCACUUACAUGGUAAAAAUUUCCAGUAAAAUCAUUAAUGCAAGUGAAAGGGACACUCACUGAAAAAAUAUAUGUGGGGCUGCAAGGGACUGCCAAAAACUAUUCAGUUCUUCAGUCCAAGAAAAGCUCUUCCAUGGACUCUCUGCAGAGGCCAGGACACCAUCCUGGGAAUGGUGGGAACGUAGGGCCAGUGGAACUCCACAGUUCCAGAGCUUCCUUGGUGCUCCCUGAAAUUUUCUAGUCUCCAGAUUGCUGUCUGUUGUGAUAUGUUCCUCCUGAUUGCUCCCCCAUUGUGCUGAGCAUCACCUCUCCUCCCACCAGCACCCGCAGUGGGAAGGAGAGUGAUGAGCCGCAGCACUGUGGGGCACAGGAGGAUGGAGAUCUCAGUCUCUGGAG